rnacentral:rRNA from 1 species
UGGAUAACCUACCUAUAAGACUGGGAUAACUUCGGGAAACCGGAGCUAAUACCGGAUAACAUAUUGAACCGCAUGGUUCAAUAGUGAAAGGCGGCUUUGCUGUCACUUAUAGAUGGAUCCGCGCCGUAUUAGCUAGUUGGUAAGGUAACGGCUUACCAAGGCAACGAUACGUAGCCGACCUGAGAGGGUGAUCGGCCACACUGGAACUGAGACACGGUCCAGACUCCUACGGGAGGCAGCAGUAGGGAAUCUUCCGCAAUGGGCGAAAGCCUGACGGAGCAACGCCGCGUGAGUGAUGAAGGUCUUCGGAUCGUAAAACUCUGUUAUCAGGGAAGAACAAAUGUGUAAGUAACUGUGCACAUCUUGACGGUACCUGAUCAGAAAGCCACGGCUAACUACGUGCCAGCAGCCGCGGUAAUACGUAGGUGGCAAGCGUUAUCCGGAAUUAUUGGGCGUAAAGCGCGCGUAGGCGGUUUUUUAAGUCUGAUGUGAAAGCCCACGGCUCAACCGUGGAGGGUCAUUGGAAACUGGAAAACUUGAGUGCAGAAGAGGAAAGUGGAAUUCCAUGU